UACGAAGGGGGCUAGCGUUGCUCGGAAUCACUGGGCGUAAAGGGCGCGUAGGCGGCCAUUCAAGUCGGGGGUGAACGCCUGUGGCUCAACCACAGAAUUGCCUUCGAUACUGUUUGGCUUGAGUAUGGUAGAGGUUGGUGGAACUGCGAGUGUAGAGGUGAAAUUCGUAGAUAUUCGCAAGAACACCAGUGGCGAAGGCGGCCAACUGGACCAUUACUGACGCUGAGGCGGCGAAAAGCGUGGGGAGCAAACAGG
rnacentral:rRNA from 1 species